rnacentral:lncRNA from 1 species
UUCGAUAAAAGAGUAACAAGAUAACUAAACAUAAACGUAACGUCAAAGUUAUAGCGUACCCCAACAGUAGAGAGCCCCAAUUUAAGAAAAAUCAAACAGCCUUUGUGAUAGUAGAAGAGGAAGUGGCAUCAUCAGACGGCUCAGAAUUGGUAGGCGGAUCUGGAUUUAAAGGGGCAUAAAUUGUACGAUCAGCAGCAGCAUCAGGGUCGUAAUCUGGGUUGAGGUCGCGAUCAAUGGUUUCCCGGCCCUUUUCGAGACAGGGCUUGCAGGCUACUUCUAUAGUAAUCCAUCCCAGAACCACCCCUGCAAUUGCUAUCAACGCUGUCGUC